CUGAACCAGCCAAGUAGCGUGAAGGAUGACUGCCCUAUGGGUUGUACACUUCUUUUCUAAAGGAAUAAAGUCGGGUAUGUAUCCCCGUUUGCAUGUACUUUAUGAAUAAGGAUCGGCUACCUCCGUGCCAGCAGCCGCGGUAAUCCGGAGGAUCCGAGCGUUAUCCGGAUUUAUUGGGUUUAAAGGGAGCGUAGAUGGAUGUUUAAGUCAGUUGUGAAAGUUUGCGG
rnacentral:rRNA from 1 species